GGGGAGCAAUCCCCUUAGUAAAGUGGCGGACGGGUGCGUAACACGUGGGUAAUCUACCUUCCGGCGGGGGACAACAGUCCGAAAGGAUUGCUAAUACCGCAUACGUCAGCGAGGUCUCCGGACUUCGUUGGGAAAGAUGGCCUCUCCUUGGAAGCUGUCACCGGAAGAUGAGCCUGCGUCCCAUCAGCUAGUUGGCGAGGUAAUGGCUCACCAAGGCUUAGACGGGUAGCUGGUCUGAGAGGAUGAUCAGCCACACUGGGACUGCGACACGGCCCAGACUCCUACGGGAGGCAGCAGUGGGGAAUAUUGGGCAAUGGGCGAAAGCCUGACCCAGCCACGCCGCGUGAGUGAUGAAGGCCUUCGGGUCGUAAAGCUCUGUGGGGAGGGACGAAUAAGUGCCGUACUAACACUACGGUGCCCUGACGGUACCUCCUUAGCAAGCACCGGCUAACCAUGUGCCAGCAGCCGCGGUAAUACAUGGGGUGCAAACGUUGCUCGGAAUUAUUGGGCGUAAAGCGCGCGUAGGCGGUUACUCAAGUCGGAUGUGAAAGCCCUCGGCUUAACUGAGGAAGUGCACCCGAAACUGAGUAGCUAGAGUACUAAAGAGGGUCGCGGAAUUCCCGGUGUAGAGGUGAAAUUCGUAGAUAUCGGGAGGAACACCGGUGGCGAAGGCGGCGACCUGGGUAGAUACUGACGCUGAGGCGCGAAAGCGUGGGGAGCAAACAGGAUUAGAUACCCUGGUAGUCCACGCCGUAAACGAUGGGUGCUAGAUGUUUCUGGUAUUGACCCCGGAGGCGUCGUAGCUAACGCGUUAAGCACCCCGCCUGGGGAGUACGGCCGCAAGGCU
rnacentral:rRNA from 1 species